AUUGAACGCUGGCGGCAUGCUUUACACAUGCAAGUCGAACGGUAACAGGUUAAGCUGACGAGUGGCGAACGGGUGAGUAAUGCAUCGGAACGUGCCCGGUCGUGGGGGAUAACGCAGCGAAAGCUGCGCUAAUACCGCAUACGAUCUGAGGAUGAAAGCGGGGGACCGUAAGGCCUCGCGCGAUCGGAGCGGCCGAUGUCAGAUUAGGUAGUUGGUGGGGUAAAGGCUCACCAAGCCAACGAUCUGUAGCUGGUCUGAGAGGACGACCAGCCACACGGGGACUGAGACACGGCCCAGCCUCCUACGGGAGGCAGCAGUGGGGAAUUUUGGACAAUGGGCGAAAGCCUGAUCCAGCAAUGCCGCGUGCAGGAAGAAGGCCUUCGGGUUGUAAACUGCUUUUGUACAGAGCGAAAAGGUCUCCUCUAAUACAGGGGGCUCAUGACGGUACCGUAAGAAUAAGCACCGGCUAACUACGUGCCAGCCGCCGCCGCGG
rnacentral:rRNA from 1 species